rnacentral:rRNA from 1 species
AUGUACUCCCAUAACACCCUGAAUGUGCCUCAUCUUGUCUGAUCUCAGAAGCUAAGCAGGGUCAGGCCUGGUUAGUAGUUGGAUGGGAGGACAACCCAAUUCUUGAUCUCAAUGAUAAAAUUAUACAUGAGAAUACA